AUGCCGUCAGAGGUUUUUGUACGACGGCUUCAUCAGGUUGUAUCACUGUGGUACACGUUCGGUGGAGGAACCAGACUGGAUGUUAACUUGGCUCAUCGCCAGCCCACUCUGACAGUGCUGCCCCCCUCCAGUGUGGAGCUGCAGCAGCAGCAGGUUACCCUCCUGUGUCUGGCCAACAAGGGCUUCCCCUCAGACUGGACUCUGUCCUGGAAGCUGGACGGCAGCAGAACCAGCUUCACCUGGGAGGAGAACAAGAGCGGUGGAGUGAUGCAGAAUGACGGCCUCUACAGCUGGAGCAGCACCCUGAGGCUCCCUGCAGACCAGUGGAGGAAGGUGGGCUCUGUGACCUGUGAGGCCUCCCAGGGCUCCCAGACUGCAGUCACAGAGACACUGAGGAGAGACCAGUGUUCCCAGUCCUGAGCUGAUUCACUCAAUUUGUUUUUGCUUUGUGUGUGCUCUUUCACAACUGUUUCUUUGAAUCCAGUAGUUCUUGGAAAGCUGUUUCUAUAUACUUGCUCAUUUAAUUUCAUUACUUUCAAAAAUAUAUCUUCUAGUAGUUAACUGUUUCAUAAAAUAUCUUCAAUAA